CGGCGUUUGGGUUUUUGACGCGCCCUGGAUCGAACUCUGCAGUCCAGCCUGCGCUUUUCCAGAUGCUUUUGCAGGCCAGAGGCCUCACCAGUCUCUCAGGAGUGGUUAGCGAGCCCAUCCCCCCCCCCCAGCAGACCCACCCGAGCCCUGCGGACGACGCUCAGCUGUCCAAACACGCAGCGGCGCGUUCAGUCCCAGUGACUCGCGUGAUGAUUAACGAGCGGCUUGAUCAUUUAAUAUCGCGUGUGAUUAAAUUAUGAGGUGUGGGGGAGGGGAGCGCUGCACUCCCGGCCAACCGGGCGGAUGCCGCCAGCCGGCGGGUCUGGGCUGAGCGCACGGAGCCGGCUAGCUCGCUGUGCACUGCGCCUGGCGAGGCUUGAGCCGCGGUCCGCGCCUUCCCGAGAUCCCUUAAGUCUGUUGCUUUCGGAAGACACCUGCAAAAAUGACGUGGAAAUCAGUGGCGCACCGGGUGGCAUUGUUCCUGGAUGCGUGGGGACGCCGGCGGCGCGGCCUGGCUGCGCGGCCUGGCUACACGUCCGGAGCGCGAGUCAGCAGUCAGCGCGCAUUGAUUUCACCCCGAGUCUCCGCCCUGCUGCCGAACAUCAUUUAGGCCAAGAUCGGGAUAAUGGGAAACACCAUCAGCAGACAAUUACCCUUUCAGAGGAUUCACUUCUCCUCACAGACACUGUUAUUUGAGAAAUAGGAUCAUUUGAUUUCAUAUUGCACUAAAUAACACCCAGCCGGUUCAAAUUGCCAGCUUCUUAAAAACCGCCCAUUGGAAUAAAUUGCAGCGGCCUCUUUUGCUUUUCAGGGAAAUAUGACCGGGACUGGGCAGAACUUGCAAAAAUAACUACAAAGCCAGCCCCGAGCAGUCGCUAUUGGUGGGAACAGCGCUGCCACCCCACAAGCAAAGACAUCCAGGCACUUUGUCCCUUGUCACCGCCCCCUCCGCCUGCCAACUUUGAGAGGAUUCAACUACUUGGCUUUGGAAUUAAAAUGCUCAGCCCCAGCCACCCCGAGAAUGCGCCUCGAGCCACCCGGCGCACUAAUGUUGAGCCACGAGAGACGGGCAGGUGCGCGAGACAACAGGCUUCUCGGUAGCUUUCAGAGUGUGUGCCUUUGGAUACAGCCGCGGAGCUGGGGCCCCGAGGCGUGAGCGUGCGCCCCCCACGGUCCCGGGUCUCAGAUCCUAGUGCAGAGAGCGGCGCGGCCAACGGUCAGCGCGGGUCCCAUCGCUGCAUCCUGCUUCCAGGUGCGCCUUGUAGGCCUUUCUGCCUUCACAACCGGCGCCAAGUCGGCGGCCCUGGCAGGGUCUCGCAGGCAGGCAGGCAGGAGGAGAGGGCAAGCGGCCGGCGGCGGAAGACGUUUCAGAAAGAUUUAAGCCUUUUGAAGUCGACCACUUACUGUGUUUUGACACUGUUGGAUUGACAAUUGUCCAGCUGGAUGGGGGCGACCUACCCCCUACACUUUAAAAAUACAUAAGAGUUGACUCCUUGGUCCUUGUUCUUUUGUGCUACGACAAAACUACGUAACUACGACAGCGCGGGUUUGGGGAACCUGUCGGUGGAGGUCUUUAUGACAUUGGUGUUCAUGUACUUCAGGAGGCCGAAUUAGAUUCCCUCUCUCCUGCUUUUACUGAAGGCCAGAUCCUGGGGGCUCCCCGGUGCGCCCUACUCGGGUUGACCUGCAAGACCUGUUAGUGGGUCUAGGGACCCGGACCCAGGUGGCGAGGCCUAGGGGGAAACGAAGACACGGGCACAGGGAGAAUGUGCCCGAAGACCUGAGGCUCCAUGCUGAAUGAGGGUCCCUCAUGCCAGUUAUUUCCCUUCACAGCAGCCAGGCCAGCACUCCCGUAGGUGUACCAAAUGGCUAUCACUCUCUUGGACACCACAGAGCAAUGGCAGCACAAGCCAAGGGAAGAUUCCAGAACCUAUGACUAGGUUUGUGUGGAUUUGCAGUCAGUGGAUGCAUGUCCAUCAACCGUUUGGAAUCCAGGUUUCUAUAUUGGACUUUUAAUCAUGAGGUUUCCAAUGACAGAAUAAGCCCUGAAACAAAUGGACUAUUGUGCUCCCAGGAAAUGUGUUGCUAAGUAUGUUGUUUUUCAGUAAAACCACUAAAGAUAGAUGGCAGACAACUUGUACGAGUAGAGGAGCCAGAGAUUGACAAUUCUUUCUCAGUGGCUCUUACUGACCACACGGGGAUUUCUGUAGCUCUUGAAUGCAUUCUUCCUGCAAUCCCAUUUUAAAAAAUUAAAUGGCUUGAAUCACCCCUUUGGAUCAAAACUUUCUUUAUUGUAUAACCCAAAACUUUAUGGUUCAGCUUAUCUUAUGCCAGAUAGUAGAGGUGUCAUAGGCAAUGGUUUUGACACACUCACUGUUAUAACUAGCAACUUUUUGUGCUUUGAUGGCUGCCACAUAGAAAAUGCACUUUUAUGUGUUCUUGGAAAUCUAUAAAGGAUGCUCUGCUCUAGAAGAGGUAGAAUAGAAUAUGGGUGGUGCCACAGGUCAUGCCUGGGUUUAUUCACAUUCUGCCUCUGUCAUUGGCCAUGUGAUACUGAGCACAUUGGAAACUCUGAGAUAUAUGAAAAUAUUUCCUCAUCUGUAAAAUGGGAAUAACAAUAUCCAAGUCAUAGGGUUGCUGUGAGUAAUAAGUACUCUUUGCUAAGUUUCUAGAAAGUUCCUUAGCACAAAGUUGUAUUUAAUAAAUGGCUUUUAAAACAAG
rnacentral:lncRNA from 1 species